rnacentral:rRNA from 1 species
UGGCAAACGGGUGAGUAACACGUGGGAAUCUACCUUUGGGUGGGGAACAACACGCUGAAAGGCGUGCUAAUACCGCAUACGCUCUCGGAAACGGGAGGAAAGCCUUCGGGCGCACAAAGAGGAGCCUGCGGCUGAUUAGCUAGUUGGUGGGGUAAAGGCCUACCAAGGCGGUGAUCAGUAGCUGGUCUGAGAGGACAGCCAGCCACACUGGGACUUAGAUACGGCCCAG